rnacentral:rRNA from 1 species
CCUACGGGUGGCAGCAGUGAGGAAUAUUGGUCAAUGGACGGGAGUCUGAACCAGCCAAGUCGCGUGAAGGAUGACUGCCCUAUGGGUUGUAAACUUCUUUUAUAUGGGAAUAAAAUGUUCCACGUGUGGGAUUUUGUAUGUACCAUAUGAAUAAGGAUCGGCUAACUCCGUGCCAGCAGCCGCGGUGAUACGGAGGAUCCGAGCGUUAUCCGGGUUUUUUGGGUUUAAAGGGAGCUUAGGUGGAUUGUUAAGUCAGUUGUGAAAGUUUGCGGCCCAACCGUAAAAUUGCAGUUGAAACUGGCAGUCUUGAGUACAGUAGAGGUGGGCGGAAUGCGUGGUGUAGCGGUGAAAUGCUUAGAUAUCACGAAGAACUCCGAUUGCGAAGGCAGUUCACUGGACUGCAACUGACACUGAGGCUCGAAAGUGUGGGUAUCAAACAGGAUUAGAUACCCUUGUAGUC